GAUGAACGCUAGCGGCAGGCCUAAUACAUGCAAGUCGAACGGGCGGUAGCAAUACCGCUAGUGGCGCACGGGUGCGUAACGCGUAACCAACCUGCCCAGAUCUGGGGGAUAGCCCGCCGAAAGGCGGAUUAAUACCGCAUAAACCCACAGUGUGGCAUCACAUAAUGGGUAAAGAUUUAUCGGAUCUGGAUGGGGUUGCGUAGCAUUAGCUAGUUGGCGGGGUAAUGGCCCACCAAGGCGACGAUGCUUAGGGGACCUGAGAGGGUGAUCCCCCACACUGGCACUGAGAUACGGGCCAGACUCCUACGGGAGGCAGCAGUAGUGAAUAUUGGGCAAUGGGCGAGAGCCUGACCCAGCCAUGCCGCGUGCCGGAUGAAGGCCUUCUGGGUUGUAAACGGCUUUUCUCAGGGAAGAAAACGGGGAUGCGUCCUCAACUGACGGUACCUGAGGAAUAAGCACCGGCUAACUCCGUG
rnacentral:rRNA from 1 species